rnacentral:rRNA from 1 species
AACGAACGCUGGCGGCAGGCUUAACACAUGCAAGUCGAACGCCCCGCAAGGGGAGUGGCAGACGGGUGAGUAACGCGUGAGAACAUACCCUUUUCUACGGAAUAGCUCUGGGAAACUGGAAUUAAUACCGUAUACGCCCUACGGGGGAAAGAUUUAUCGGGGAAGGAUUGGCCCGCGUUGGAUUAGCUAGUUGGUGGGGUAAAGGCCUACCAAGGCGACGAUCCAUAGCUGGUCUGAGAGGAUGAUCAGCCACAUUGGGACUGAGACACGGCCCAAACUCCUACGGGAGGCAGCAGUGGGGAAUAUUGGACAAUGGGCGCAAGCCUGAUCCAGCCAUGCCGCGUGAGUGAUGAAGGCCUUAGGGUUGUAAAGCUCUUUCACCGAUGAAGAUAAUGACGGUAGUCGGAGAAGAAGCCCCGGCUAACUUCGUG